rnacentral:rRNA from 1 species
AGCGAACGCUGGCGGCAGGCUUAACACAUGCAAGUCGAACGCAUCACUUCGGUGGUGAGUGGCAGACGGGUGAGGAACACGAGGGAACGUACCCUUCGAUCUGGGAUAACUUCGGGAAACUGGAGCUAAUACCGGAUACGCCCUCUUGGGGAAAGGUUUACUGUCGAAGGAUCGGCCCGCAUCUGAUUAGCUAGUUGGUGGGGUAACGGCCUACCAAGGCGACGAUCAGUAGCUGGUCUGAGAGGAUGAUCAGGCCCCCUGCGACUGAGACACGGCCCAGACUCCUACGGGUGGCAGCAGUGGGGAAUAUUGGACAAUGGGCGCAAGCCGGAUCCAGCCAUGCCGCGUGAGUGAUGAAGGCCUUAGGGUUGUAAAGCUCUUUUGUCCGGGACGAUAAUGACGGUACCGGAAGAAUAAGCCCCGGCUAACUUCGUG